UUAAGCGACUAAGCGUACACGGUGGAUGCCCUGGCAGUCAGAGGCGAUGAAGGACGUGCUAAUCUGCGAUAAGCGUCGGUGAGGUGAUAUGAACCGUUAUAACCGGCGAUUUCCGAAUGGGGAAACCCAGUGUGUUUCGACACACUAUCAUUAACUGAAUCCAUAGGUUAAUGAGGCGAACCGGGGGAACUGAAACAUCUAAGUACCCCGAGGAAAAGAAAUCAACCGAGAUUCCCCCAGUAGCGGCGAGCGAACGGGGAGGAGCCCAGAGCCUGAAUCAGUGUGUGUGUUAGUGGAAGCGUCUGGAAAGGCGUGCGAUACAGGGUGACAGCCCCGUACACAAAAAUGCACAUAUUGUGAGCUCGAUGAGUAGGGCGGGACACGUGGUAUCCUGUCUGAAUAUGGGGGGACCAUCCUCCAAGGCUAAAUACUCCUGACUGACCGAUAGUGAACCAGUACCGUGAGGGAAAGGCGAAAAGAACCCCGGCGAGGGGAGUGAAAAAGAACCUGAAACCGUGUACGUACAAGCAGUGGGAGCCUCUUAAUGGGGUGACUGCGUACCUUUUGUAUAAUGGGUCAGCGACUUAUAUUCUGUAGCAAGGUUAACCGAAUAGGGGAGCCGAAGGGAAACCGAGUCUUAACUGGGCGUUAAGUUGCAGGGUAUAGACCCGAAACCCGGUGAUCUAGCCAUGGGCAGGUUGAAGGUUGGGUAACACUAACUGGAGGACCGAACCGACUAAUGUUGAAAAAUUAGCGGAUGACUUGUGGCUGGGGGUGAAAGGCCAAUCAAACCGGGAGAUAGCUGGUUCUCCCCGAAAGCUAUUUAGGUAGCGCCUCGUGAAUUCAUCUCCGGGGGUAGAGCACUGUUUCGGCAAGGGGGUCAUCCCGACUUACCAACCCGAUGCAAACUGCGAAUACCGGAGAAUGUUAUCACGGGAGACACACGGCGGGUGCUAACGUCCGUCGUGAAGAGGGAAACAACCCAGACCGCCAGCUAAGGUCCCAAAGUCAUGGUUAAGUGGGAAACGAUGUGGGAAGGCCCAGACAGCCAGGAUGUUGGCUUAGAAGCAGCCAUCAUUUAAAGAAAGCGUAAUAGCUCACUGGUCGAGUCGGCCUGCGCGGAAGAUGUAACGGGGCUAAACCAUGCACCGAAGCUGCGGCAGCGACACUAUGUGUUGUUGGGUAGGGGAGCGUUCUGUAAGCCUGUGAAGGUGGCCUGUGAGGGUUGCUGGAGGUAUCAGAAGUGCGAAUGCUGACAUAAGUAACGAUAAAGCGGGUGAAAAGCCCGCUCGCCGGAAGACCAAGGGUUCCUGUCCAACGUUAAUCGGGGCAGGGUGAGUCGACCCCUAAGGCGAGGCCGAAAGGCGUAGUCGAUGGGAAACAGGUUAAUAUUCCUGUACUUGGUGUUACUGCGAAGGGGGGACGGAGAAGGCUAUGUUGGCCGGGCGACGGUUGUCCCGGUUUAAGCGUGUAGGCUGGUUUUCCAGGCAAAUCCGGAAAACCAAGGCUGAGGCGUGAUGACGAGGCACUACGGUGCUGAAGUGACAAAUGCCCUGCUUCCAGGAAAAGCCUCUAAGCAUCAGGUAACAUCAAAUCGUACCCCAAACCGACACAGGUGGUCAGGUAGAGAAUACCAAGGCGCUUGAGAGAACUCGGGUGAAGGAACUAGGCAAAAUGGUGCCGUAACUUCGGGAGAAGGCACGCUGAUAUGUAGGUGAAGCGACUUGCUCGUGGAGCUGAAAUCAGUCGAAGAUACCAGCUGGCUGCAACUGUUUAUUAAAAACACAGCACUGUGCAAACACGAAAGUGGACGUAUACGGUGUGACGCCUGCCCGGUGCCGGAAGGUUAAUUGAUGGGGUUAGCGGCAACGCGAAGCUCUUGAUCGAAGCCCCGGUAAACGGCGGCCGUAACUAUAACGGUCCUAAGGUAGCGAAAUUCCUUGUCGGGUAAGUUCCGACCUGCACGAAUGGCGUAAUGAUGGCCAGGCUGUCUCCACCCGAGACUCAGUGAAAUUGAACUCGCUGUGAAGAUGCAGUGUACCCGCGGCAAGACGGAAAGACCCCGUGAACCUUUACUAUAGCUUGACACUGAACAUUGAGCCUUGAUGUGUAGGAUAGGUGGGAGGCUUUGAAGUGUGGACGCCAGUCUGCAUGGAGCCGGCCUUGAAAUACCACCCUUUAAUGUUUGAUGUUCUAACGUGGGCCCGUUAUCCGGGUUGCGGACAGUGUCUGGUGGGUAGUUUGACUGGGGCGGUCUCCUCCUAAAGAGUAACGGAGGAGCACGAAGGUUGGCUAAUCCUGGUCGGACAUCAGGAGGUUAGUGCAAUGGCAUAAGCCAGCUUGACUGCGAGCGUGACGGCGCGAGCAGGUGCGAAAGCAGGUCAUAGUGAUCCGGUGGUUCUGAAUGGAAGGGCCGAUCGCUCAACGGAUAAAAGGUAACUCCGGGGAUAACAGGCUGAUACCGCCCAAGAGUUCAUAUCGACGGCGGUGUUUGGCACCUCGAUGUCGGCUCAUCACAUCCUGGGGCUGAAGUAGGUCCCAAGGGUAUGGCUGUUCGCCAUUUAAAGUGGUACGCGAGCUGGGUUUAGAACGUCGUGAGACAGUUCGGUCCCUAUCUGCCGUGGGCGCUGGAGAACUGAGGGGGGCUGCUCCUAGUACGAGAGGACCGGAGUGGACGCAUCACUGGUGUUCGGGUUGUCAUGCCAAUGGCACUGCCCGGUAGCUAAAUGCGGAAGAGAUAAGUGCUGAAAGCAUCUAAGCACGAAACUUGCCCCGAGAUGAGUUCUCCCUGACCCUUUAAGGGUCCUGAAGGAACGUUGAAGACGACGACGUUGAUAGGCCGGGUGUGUAAGCGCAGCGAUGCGUUGAGCUAACCGGUACUAAUGAACCGUGAGGCUUAACCUU
rnacentral:rRNA from 1 species